AAUGAAAAAGUCCGCGAAACUGUUGCAUUGUCUUUAGCAUCUAAACAAUGUGACGUCAUGUGCUUACUCUGGAUGUUAAACAUCAAUACUAAACAUAUUUUUACUUUUCGUACGCUUCAGAAUGGUUUCAAUAUAGACUAAAAGAAGAUUUUGAGGCUCAAAAUGCGAAUAUCUUGUUUAAUUUUUGAGAAAUUACAUAUCCCAGAAUUCAAAAUGGUGGCUUUCUUAGUUACGGACUGGUAGAACGUGGAAUCUAACCCCUCAAAAUAUUUAUCAACGUCCAAUGAAAAUUAUCGUUACAAACUAAUUGCAUUAGAAUCCCCAAUUGAUGC
rnacentral:lncRNA from 1 species